ACCCGCUGAACUUAAGCAUAUCAAUAAGCGGAGGAAAAGAAACCAACAGGGAUUGCCCUAGUAACGGCGAGUGAAGCGGCAACAGCUCAAAUUUGAAAUCUGGCUUCGGCCCGAGUUGUAAUUUGCAGAGGAAGCUUUAGGCGCGGCACCUUCUGAGUCCCCUGGAACGGGGCGCCAUAGAGGGUGAGAGCCCCGUAUAGUUGGAUGCCUAGCCUGUGUAAAGCUCCUUCGACGAGUCGAGUAGUUUGGGAAUGCUGCUCAAAAUGGGAGGUAAAUUUCUUCUAAAGCUAAAUACCGGCCAGAGACCGAUAGCGCACAAGUAGAGUGAUCGAAAGAUGAAAAGCACUUUGAAAAGAGGGUUAAAUAGCACGUGAAAUUGUUGAAAGGGAAGCGCUUGUGACCAGACUUGCGCCGGGCAGAUCAUCCGGUGUUCUCACCGGUGCACUCUGCCCGGCUCAGGCCAGCAUCGGUUCUCGCGGGGGGAUAAAGGCCCUGGGAACGUAGCUCCUCCGGGAGUGUUAUAGCCCGGGGCGUAAUGCCUUCGCGGGGACCGAGGUUCGCGCAUCUGCAAGGAUGCUGGCGUAAUGGUCAU
rnacentral:rRNA from 1 species